rnacentral:rRNA from 1 species
GGUUAAGCGACUAAGCGUACACGGUGGAUGCCCUGGCAGUCAGAGGCGAUGAAGGACGUGCUAAUCUGCGAUAAGCGUCGGUAAGGUGAUAUGAACCGUUAUAACCGGCGAUUUCCGAAUGGGGAAACCCAGUGUGUUUCGACACACUAUCAUUAACUGAAUCCAUAGGUUAAUGAGGCGAACCGGGGGAACUGAAACAUCUAAGUACCCCGAGGAAAAGAAAUCAACCGAGAUUCCCCCAGUAGCGGCGAGCGAACGGGGAGCAGCCCAGAGCCUGAAUCAGUGUGUGUGUUAGUGGAAGCGUCUGGAAAGGCGCGCGAUACAGGGUGACAGCCCCGUACACAAAAAUGCACAUAUUGUGAGCUCGAUGAGUAGGGCGGGACACGUGGUAUCCUGUCUGAAUAUGGGGGGACCAUCCUCCAAGGCUAAAUACUCCUGACUGACCGAUAGUGAACCAGUACCGUGAGGGAAAGGCGAAAAGAACCCCGGCGAGGGGAGUGAAAAAGAACCUGAAACCGUGUACGUACAAGCAGUGGGAGCACGCUUAGGCGUGUGACUGCGUACCUUUUGUAUAAUGGGUCAGCGACUUAUAUUCUGUAGCAAGGUUAACCGAAUAGGGGAGCCGAAGGGAAACCGAGUCUUAACUGGGCGUUAAGUUGCAGGGUAUAGACCCGAAACCCGGUGAUCUAGCCAUGGGCAGGUUGAAGGUUGGGUAACACUAACUGGAGGACCGAACCGACUAAUGUUGAAAAAUUAGCGGAUGACUUGUGGCUGGGGGUGAAAGGCCAAUCAAACCGGGAGAUAGCUGGUUCUCCCCGAAAGCUAUUUAGGUAGCGCCUCGUGAAUUCAUCUCCGGGGGUAGAGCACUGUUUCGGCAAGGGGGUCAUCCCGACUUACCAACCCGAUGCAAACUGCGAAUACCGGAGAAUGUUAUCACGGGAGACACACGGCGGGUGCUAACGUCCGUCGUGAAGAGGGAAACAACCCAGACCGCCAGCUAAGGUCCCAAAGUCAUGGUUAAGUGGGAAACGAUGUGGGAAGGCCCAGACAGCCAGGAUGUUGGCUUAGAAGCAGCCAUCAUUUAAAGAAAGCGUAAUAGCUCACUGGUCGAGUCGGCCUGCGCGGAAGAUGUAACGGGGCUAAACCAUGCACCGAAGCUGCGGCAGCGACGCUUAUGCGUUGUUGGGUAGGGGAGCGUUCUGUAAGCCUGUGAAGGUGUGCUGUGAGGCAUGCUGGAGGUAUCAGAAGUGCGAAUGCUGACAUAAGUAACGAUAAAGCGGGUGAAAAGCCCGCUCGCCGGAAGACCAAGGGUUCCUGUCCAACGUUAAUCGGGGCAGGGUGAGUCGACCCCUAAGGCGAGGCCGAAAGGCGUAGUCGAUGGGAAACAGGUUAAUAUUCCUGUACUUGGUGUUACUGCGAAGGGGGGACGGAGAAGGCUAUGUUGGCCGGGCGACGGUUGUCCCGGUUUAAGCGUGUAGGCUGGUUUUCCAGGCAAAUCCGGAAAAUCAAGGCUGAGGCGUGAUGACGAGGCACUACGGUGCUGAAGCAACAAAUGCCCUGCUUCCAGGAAAAGCCUCUAAGCAUCAGGUAACAUCAAAUCGUACCCCAAACCGACACAGGUGGUCAGGUAGAGAAUACCAAGGCGCUUGAGAGAACUCGGGUGAAGGAACUAGGCAAAAUGGUGCCGUAACUUCGGGAGAAGGCACGCUGAUAUGUAGGUGAAGCGACUUGCUCGUGGAGCUGAAAUCAGUCGAAGAUACCAGCUGGCUGCAACUGUUUAUUAAAAACACAGCACUGUGCAAACACGAAAGUGGACGUAUACGGUGUGACGCCUGCCCGGUGCCGGAAGGUUAAUUGAUGGGGUCAGCGCAAGCGAAGCUCUUGAUCGAAGCCCCGGUAAACGGCGGCCGUAACUAUAACGGUCCUAAGGUAGCGAAAUUCCUUGUCGGGUAAGUUCCGACCUGCACGAAUGGCGUAAUGAUGGCCAGGCUGUCUCCACCCGAGACUCAGUGAAAUUGAACUCGCUGUGAAGAUGCAGUGUACCCGCGGCAAGACGGAAAGACCCCGUGAACCUUUACUAUAGCUUGACACUGAACAUUGAGCCUUGAUGUGUAGGAUAGGUGGGAGGCUUUGAAGUGUGGACGCCAGUCUGCAUGGAGCCGACCUUGAAAUACCACCCUUUAAUGUUUGAUGUUCUAACGUUGACCCGUAAUCCGGGUUGCGGACAGUGUCUGGUGGGUAGUUUGACUGGGGCGGUCUCCUCCUAAAGAGUAACGGAGGAGCACGAAGGUUGGCUAAUCCUGGUCGGACAUCAGGAGGUUAGUGCAAUGGCAUAAGCCAGCUUGACUGCGAGCGUGACGGCGCGAGCAGGUGCGAAAGCAGGUCAUAGUGAUCCGGUGGUUCUGAAUGGAAGGGCCAUCGCUCAACGGAUAAAAGGUACUCCGGGGAUAACAGGCUGAUACCGCCCAAGAGUUCAUAUCGACGGCGGUGUUUGGCACCUCGAUGUCGGCUCAUCACAUCCUGGGGCUGAAGUAGGUCCCAAGGGUAUGGCUGUUCGCCAUUUAAAGUGGUACGCGAGCUGGGUUUAGAACGUCGUGAGACAGUUCGGUCCCUAUCUGCCGUGGGCGCUGGAGAACUGAGGGGGGCUGCUCCUAGUACGAGAGGACCGGAGUGGACGCAUCACUGGUGUUCGGGUUGUCAUGCCAAUGGCACUGCCCGGUAGCUAAAUGCGGAAGAGAUAAGUGCUGAAAGCAUCUAAGCACGAAACUUGCCCCGAGAUGAGUUCUCCCUGACUCCUUGAGAGUCCUGAAGGAACGUUGAAGACGACGACGUUGAUAGGCCGGGUGUGUAAGCGCAGCGAUGCGUUGAGCUAACCGGUACUAAUGAACCGUGAGGCUUAACCUU